UACGUAGGGUGCGAGCGUUAAUCGGAAUUACUGGGCGUAAAGCGUGCGCAGGCGGUUUUGUAAGCCAGAUGUGAAAGCCCCGGGCUUAACCUGGGAAUGGCAUUUGGGACUGCAAGGCUUGAGUGCGGCAGAGGAGACUGGAAUUCCUGGUGUAGCAGUGAAAUGCGUAGAUAUGUGGAGGAAUACCGAUGGCGAAGGCAGCCCCCUGGGCCAAUACUGA
rnacentral:rRNA from 1 species